UGGGGAAUUUUGGACAAUGGGCGCAAGCCUGAUCCAGCAAUGCCGCGUGCAGGAUGAAGGCCUUCGGGUUGUAAACUGCUUUUGUACGGAACGAAAAGGCUCUGGUUAAUACCUGGAGCAUAUGACGGUACCGUAAGAAUAAGCACCGGCUAACUACGUGCCAGCAGCCGCGGUAAUACGUAGGGUGCGAGCGUUAAUCGGAAUUACUGGGCGUAAAGCGUGCGCAGGCGGUUUUGUAAGACAGAGGUGAAAUCCCCGGGCUCAACCUGGGAACUGCCUUUGUGACUGCAAGGCUGGAGUGCGGCAGAGGGGGAUGGAAUUCCGCGUGUAGCAGUGAAAUGCGUAGAUAUGCGGAGGAACACCGAUGGCGAAGGCAAUCCCCUGGGCCUGCACUGACGCUCAUGCACGAAAGCGUGGGGAGCAAACAGGAUUAGAUACCCUGGUAGUCCACGCCCUAAACGAUGUCAACUGG
rnacentral:rRNA from 1 species